rnacentral:misc_RNA from 1 species
GAUGAAGAACGUAGCGAAACGCGAUAAGUAAUGUGAAUUGCAGAAUUCAGUGAAUCAUCGAGUCUUUGAACGCACAUUGCGCCCCCUGGCAUUCCGGGGGGCAUGCCUGUCCGAGCGUCAUUGCUGCCCUUCAAGCCCGGCUUGUGUGUUGGGUCGUCGUCCCCCCCGGGGGACGGGCCCGAAAGGCAGCGGCGGCACCGCGUCCGGUCCUCGAGCGUAUGGGGCUUUGUCACCCGCUCGAUUAGGGCCGGCCGGGCGCCAGCCGGCGUCUCCAACCUUCUAUUUUACCAGGUUGACCUCGGAUCAGGUAGGGAUACCCGCUGAACUUAAGCAUAUCAAUAAGCGGAGGA